UGCCAUCAAACCUGCUCAGUGCAUUUAACUAUUUGGUGAAUUUAUUCUUUCAACUCCUUUGCGCAGGGAGGAACUGCUCCACUUGUUUAUUUGUAUAGGAUAUUUAGCAUAGAUUGAUUUAUAGUUGAAUUCAAGGCCCUUAAUUGAGCUGGUUGACAAAAAUAGGAUUCUUGUAGCCAGCCCCAAGUAGUUGGGACGAGGCUUUAUUUUGUUGAGUUGAGUUAGAGUUCUAGAUCGAUGUAGACAUGAGGUUCUUUGAAAUCUCAUUGUGACCCAUUCUUUUGAAAUUGUUUGUAAUUAUAUGGCCCCAGAAUUUGACCUUUUGAAUCAAUGAUAUGACAUUGUUUGUGCUGUUGAUGCCUUAUCUAACAAUAUUGUUGUGUGGACUAUUUCUUGCCAAAUUCAAGUUGGCGAUGCGCAGUCGAUUCAAUAAUCUGGUGAGCUUAUCCUUUGAGUUCAUCUCUGUUGCUAACAGUUAAGUUGAAAUUGAUUAAUUGCUUGUGAUGUUUGUUUGCCUCCAUGAGUAGAAGGAUUGGACUAUGAGUGAGGUGGACCCUACUCGUAACAUGUUUGGUUAGAAAAGUUAUAAGGGGAUUAACACUACAAUAGGAGUAGUAGUCCACCACUAUGGGUGGAUUAGCAAAGAUGGGUGAGAGGUGGGAUUGAUGGUGAAAAAAAAACCAUUUUGUCCCUUAGUUUAAAUGAUACUACAAUGAAAGAAGGGUAAUUAUGUAAUUUGAUAUGUUUAUUCCCAAUCAAUUAAUACCACCACACUACUACAAAAACACACUUUAUUAUCUUAUAUUUCUAAUUUAAUACCACUACAUUAUUAAUCUCCUCACUCAAUUUCACCGCACUCAUAAUUCUAUCUAAUCUAAUCUAAUCUAUCAAAAUAAUGUGGCUAGGAAUUUUUAAUCCAUUGAUUGAUUUUUCAUAUAUAUAUAUAUAGCCUUCGUUUGGGAUGUAGGUUGGCUUUUUGACUUCUUGACUUUUUGGCUAUUUUAGCUUAGGGCUAAAAAGCCUCGUUUGGGAUGUGUUUUUUGGUUUUUUUUGACUUUUAUGAGAGAAAAAAUUAAAUAAUUAUGGUUUAGAUGUAACAUUUUAUCUUAUUGACUUUUUAAUUUAUUUUAUCUUUUUGUGAUUAAAAUAAUUCUGACCCAACCCAAACCUUCGUGCCAACCAAUGCAAUGUCUUGUGUGGUCACUACUUUCUACAAAAUAGCAGAACGAGAAUGACAUCAAGGGACUCAAAAACAUUCUAUGAAUAUGUUGAUAUUCUGCUGGUUAGGUUUGGCGCUUAGUGAGAGAGGGGUAGCGUUAAAUACAGUUAUCCGCUAUCUAAUACACUUACUAAGAGAGGGGUAGUGUUAAAUACAAUUCUUUGCUAUCUAAUGCUGGAGUCCGGAUCCUCUGCCUGUUUUCCUGCGGCGCUUCCCUACCAUGGUCCCAAUGACGUCGUUUUGACGUUUCCCCCCCUCCCCAUUUUUGUUGAGAGCUAAGCCAUACACCACAACAACGGUGAUGAAGCGAGGCCACGGAGAAUCAAAAAAAAAAAUCUUUUGAAAGUAAGAAAAAGACCAUUGAAGCUGUUGAGUGAUGAUUUACUUGUUGGGUUUCCCUUGUUUUCUUCUCCCUAAGCUCUCAAACAUCUCUAAAUUCUGGUUUAUUUGUGUGAAUUUUAAAGCUUCGUUCUUCCCUUUUCAAAACAUUGUUUCAAUCAACAAUCUCUUUGGUUCCAGCGAAGCUUGAUCGCCACUGCGAGACACAGCGACAAACUGAUCUAUAAAUUAUAGAUCUGUGAGACAAACCGAUCUGAGAGACGGCGUCGAUGCAAGUGGAGCUCAGAUAUUGGAGAUUUGACGCGGCGGAGAUCUUGAAGCGGCUGUGAAUCAAACGACCCCCAUUUACUCUAUUGUUCUAUUCCCUUCUUCUUCUCAAUAUCCUAUAUAUAUAGACUCUGUUGAGUCUUCUAGCUCCAUUUGGGACAACAGAGCUCUUCACUGAAUCUAUGAUCUUAUAUAUAUAUACAUAUGUAAACAUACGCGUGUGUAUAUAUAUAGAUGAUUGGGUUUGAAGGGUUGGUUUGUUUUGUUGAGAAAACUGAAAGGAAAUGAGUUCAGGCUUUUACACUUAGUCAAAAUGAGUUCAGGCCUUUUCAAAUGAGGGAAGAAAAUAGGGGCAAAAGGAAAUGAGAGAGGAAAAUAAAAAACACCAAAAUGACGUCAUUUUGGACCAUGGUAGGGAACCCCCGCAGGAAAACACGGCAAAGGAUCCGGACUCUCUAAUGCUGUGCAAAGCUCUCUCACGUUACAAGGUGAGCAAGCACAUGACCAGGCCCAGAGUUGACGGCCUAUGUUCUAGUUUUUGUCAACUAACCUUUGCACCUCUCGAGGAGGUUCUGGAUGAAGUCAAGUUUUGUGGCUAUUUUUUUGUAAUCAUAUUAGACUAUGUUUGUGUGUUAAGUUGUGGGCAAGAUUUUUGGCAUGUACGCCUAAGUGUGGUAUGUAAAUAUUAUACAUUUUGACUUCACUUGUAAGUUUAUAAAAUGUUUAAGCUAUUAUGUCCCAUAUAUGUCAUAACAGCUCAUUGGACCUCGUAUAUUUUGUAUAUUUGCUUCCGCAGUCCCUAACUAUAUGUUAAUCUGUCAAGAGGCCUUUGGUAAACCAAGGAUUACUGGCCGGUUACGAUGCUAAACCCAUAGGGGCGGGUUUGGGUUGUGACAAAAUUGUUGCACAUAGAAUUGAUUUGGGUUAAGUAGCUUCUUCAACAAGGUGCAAACAUUUGUUGACAUUGGGAAUUUGAAGAUGUGGCAUUGAUCAUUCACGAGUGUGGUAUGGAGAAAAGAUAGUGAAAUUAAUAUCCUUAUUUACUGAUCUUUGAUGUUGACAAGUUGCCAAUGUUUGUGGAUCAUUUAUUUAUAUUUGAAAGUGAUUUUAUUUGACCAAAUCUCUGGUGCCUGGAGCUUGUCUGGAAGAGUAUGGACUAGCUCAUAACUUGUUUGUGUGUGGGGUUUUUUAAUACAGUGUUUCUUAUGAUUAAGGGCUAUUUUGGGAAGAUGGUUAAAAGCUGUUUUUUGUGAGAGAGGGAAGUGGGUUAUAAUCUGGGAAGUGGAUUCUAACCCACUUCCCAAAAGGCCCCUAAGUCAUUCUAAUAUGCUGAAUAAUCCAGUAGUUUUCAAUAAUUCCUUUCAUUAAAGUUGUAUUUUUCUAGCAGACUUUGUUACAUAUUCUUGACUAGUGGGGCAGUUGUAGGACUAAAGCAUGAGUAUUGAAUCAGGGGAAUUGGAGCUUGAUAAUCAGUGAGUAAUAUGUUGUAGUCAAAGUUUCUUCUUGGUAGUUUCUUUCUGCAGCUGAUGUCUCCAAUGACCAGAUUAGUUUUUAGUUGUUUAAUUUGGAACCAAAUAAGACAUGGUCUCCUGGUGGCAUCAUGUUCUCAUUUUCUAUUGGAAAAAUAUGAUGUGUUCCAGAAGGAAAAAGUACAAUAAAAGAGUAGGGGACUUCUUGAAGAAAGAGGAUAGUUUGUCAAGGGGAAAAUAAUAGUGGUACAAAGAUUGGUGGGGGUGGGAGAGAAACAAAUAUUGAAGUUAUUGUGAUGUUUGAUAGUAACAUUUAUGUCAUGAAAGAUAAAAGAAUGGCGUUUGGAGAAGAUUAUUUUAAUUGUUCUGAAAAAUGUAAUAGAUAUGCUAGGAUUUGCGCAUGAACAGUAAUCUUGCUGUAAUAAAUUAAUUAUGAUGGAAAUUUCCACCUUACAAUUUUUGUGGUAUUGUGUUUUAGGGCAAAUGGAUUGUAAGGUUGUUGUAAUUAAUUGCAACCCAUUUUUCUUUAUUUUUCUGUAGGUGAAUAUCAUUGCCCAAUAUUGAACAAAUUUUUUACUGAAUUUACACACAUUGUUAUUGUAAGGACUACAAGAAAUAUUUUCUGCUACGUGGUUUGUUUGCUUAUUUAUUGAUCAUCAAUGCUAGUGGUCUUUCCUCCUAAGUUCUUUAUGUGUAAUUUCUAUGUAAGUGAUCUACACCUCUUCCAUUUACCUUUGUUUCAUAGGCAAUCAAAGAAUUAAACAUCAAAACCAAGAAUUGGGAGCUUCUCACUGAUGAAACAUUCACUAGAGAAGAUCUUAUAACAAUUCAGAAUCCUAAUGCACUUGAUAGGAGGGUGGGUUCUCGUGGAUUUUGAUCAUGUAAAAAAUAGUUUGAAACUCGAUGAUGUAGAAUUGAUGAAAAUGAGCUCAGAUCCAACCUAUAACAUAAAUGUUUCUGGGGAUAUCAGAUAGAUGCUGAAGGAGCUUGGAACUGAGAUAGGAAAAGAAAUUGCAUUGCAUGAGGGAGAAGGAAACAAGGCACAAAAAAGUACCAAUAUGUAUGCCUGCUGUCUCCUAAAAGAUGUGCCCAUAAUUCUCUGGUAGAUAGUUCCAAUUGCUACCUUGUUUGUCAUCUUUUGGAGGUAGACACGUGACGGUCUUCUCUACUAUUGUUUCUUUGCAGGAAGAAGAAGAUGAGCCAGUGAAAGCAAAAGAUGAGAAUAAUGCUGGACAAGAUUGGGUCAUGGUACAGCAAUGCAGGAAAAGGAGCAAGUGAAUCUGGAUCUGUAGGUGGUGGUGUUGGCAAGUACUUGAAGGUGAGAAAUGUACAGGCUGAAUCUGCUGCUACUGACUGAUAUGCAGGCAACUGCUGUAGCAAAGAAAAAGAAAUUAGGUGUAGCAAUGAGGGAAUGUAAAGACUUUUCUUCUUGGUAAGGUUUUCCCACGUUGUUUACCAUAUUUCAGACUUGAACGUGACCUAGAGGUGGUGUAGCCUAGCAGUGAAACAUGAUCGUUUGAGUGAGAAAAAGGAAAAGAAAGAGAGAUUUGGAAUUACUCUGUUCAUUACAUUUGUAUUUGUUGGUUGUACAAUACCAUGCAUCCAGUCAGAAAUUCUAUUAGAAAUUUUUAUGAGAAAAUACAGAUUUUUUUUUCUCCUCUCA